UCCCGUUGAUCCUGCGGGAGGUUGCUGCUAUUGGAGUUACUAAGCCAUGCAAGUUAGGUAGCUUCGUGCUACCGGCAAACUGCUCAGUAACACGUCGAUAAUCUACCCUUAGGUCGGGGAUAACCUUGGGAAACUGAGGCUAACACCUGAUAGAAGAUUAAUUCUGGAAUGAAUUUUCUUUUAAAAGCAAUGCCUAAGGAUGAGUUGGCGGCUGAUUAGGUAGUUGGUGGUGUAAUGGACCACCAAGCCGAAGAUCAGUAGGGGUCUUGAAAGAGAUAGCCCCGAGAAGGGCACUGAGAUACUGGCCCUAGCCCCACGGGGUGCAGCAGGCGCGAAACCUUUACAAUGCACGUAAGUGUGAUAAGGGAACUCCGAGUGCUUAUGCUUUGCAUAGGCUUUUGCCAAAAGUAAAAAUUUUGGCGAAUAAGUGGUGGGUAAGACGGGUGCCAGCCGCCGCGGUAACACCUGCGCCACGAGUGGGAACCAUGUUUAUUUGGCCUAAAGCGUCCGUAGCCGAUUUAAUAAAUCUUCUGUGAAAUUGUUAGGCUUAACUUAACAUUGUGCAGAAGACACUAUUAGAAUUGGGACUGGAAGGAGCCAGAAGUAUUUUUGGGGGAGCGGUAAAAUGCUAUAAUCCCAGAAGGACUACCUGUGGCGAAAGCGUCUGGCUAGUACAGAUUCGACGGUGAGGGACGAAAGCCAGGGGAGCAAUCCGGAUUAGAUACCCGAGUAGUCCUGGCCAUAAACUCUGCGAGCUAGGUGUUGCAUAUUCUCCGUGAAUAUGCGAUGUCGUAGUGAAGACGUUAAGCUCGCCGCCUGGGAAGUAUAGUCGCAAGACCGAAACUUAAAGGAAUUGGCGGGGGAGCACUACAAGGGGUGCGGCGUGCGGUUUAAUCUAAUUCAACGCAGAGAACCUCACCAGCAGCGACGGCAGAAUGAAAGUCAGUCUGAAGGGCUUACUUGACAAGCCGAGAGGUAGCGCAUGGCCGCCGUCAGCUCAUGCCGUAAGGUGUCCUGUUAAGUCAGGCAACGAGCGAGACCUGUACCUACAAUUGCUAACGAGCAUUUAUGUGAUCGAGCACAUUGUGGGGACUGCCUUCGAAAGGAGGAGGAAGGUGCAGGCUACGGUAGGUCUGUAUGCUCCGAAUCUGCUGGGCUACACGCGCGCAACAAUGGUAAGGACAAUUGGAUGCAACUCCGAAAGGAGAAGCUAAUCCCCGAAACCUUAUCUUAGUACAGAUUGAGGUUUGCAACUCAGCCUCAUGACGCUGGAAUCCCUAGUAAUCAGACGUCAUCAUCGUCCGGUGAAUAUGUCCCUGCUCCUUGCACACACCGCCCGUCAAACCACCUGAGUAGGGUUUAGAUGAGGCCUUAUUUUUAAUAAGUUCGAAUCUAAGCUUUGCGAGGAGGGUUAAGUCGUCACAAGGUA
rnacentral:rRNA from 1 species